rnacentral:rRNA from 1 species
AGAGUUUGAUCAUGGCUCAGGACGAACGCUGGCGGCGUGCCUAAUACAUGCAAGUCGAGCGAGCUUGCCUAGAUGAUUUUAGUGCUUGCACUAAAUGAAACUAGAUACAAGCGAGCGGCGGACGGGUGAGUAACACGUGGGUAACCUGCCCAAGAGACUGGGAUAACACCUGGAAACAGAUGCUAAUACCGGAUAACAACACUAGACGCAUGUCUAGAGUUUGAAAGAUGGUUCUGCUAUCACUCUUGGAUGGACCUGCGGUGCAUUAGCUAGUUGGUAAGGUAACGGCUUACCAAGGCAAUGAUGCAUAGCCGAGUUGGGAGACUGAUCGGCCACAUUGGGACUGAGACACGGCCCAAACUCCUACGGGAGGCAGCAGUAGGGAAUCUUCCACAAUGGACGAAAGUCUGAUGGAGCAACGCCGCGUGAGUGAAGAAGGGUUUCGGCUCGUAAAGCUCUGUUGGUAGUGAAGAAAGAUAGAGGUAGUAACUGGCCUUUAUUUGACGGUAAUUACUUAGAAAGUCACGGCUAACUACGUGCCAGCAGCCGCGGUAAUACGUAGGUGGCAAGCGUUGUCCGGAUUUAUUGGGCGUAAAGCGAGUGCAGGCGGUUCAAUAAGUCUGAUGUGAAAGCCUUCGGCUCAACCGGAGAAUUGCAUCAGAAACUGUUGAACUUGAGUGCAGAAGAGGAGAGUGGAACUCCAUGUGUAGCGGUGGAAUGCGUAGAUAUAUGGAAGAACACCAGUGGCGAAGGCGGCUCUCUGGUCUGCAACUGACGCUGAGGCUCGAAAGCAUGGGUAGCGAACAGGAUUAGAUACCCUGGUAGUCCAUGCCGUAAACGAUGAGUGCUAAGUGUUGGGAGGUUUCCGCCUCUCAGUGCUGCAGCUCACGCAUUAAGCACUCCGCCUGGGGAG